rnacentral:rRNA from 1 species
AAUUUUGAUAUUUAGUAUAAUUUUUUUUAAAAAAGAAACAUCAUUUAUAUUUAGUAACGGUGAAAGAAGUAAUUAUAUAUUAAUAUAUAAAGUCGUACCGUAUGGGGAAAUUAUAAAUUUCUUUUAAGUAGAAUUUUAAUUUGUACCUUUUGCAUCAUGGUUUAGCAAGAAAAUUUUUUGAAUUAGAUUUCUCGAAACCUAAGGAGCUACCUUAGUUUUGGUUUAGCCUUAGAUAAAGGUGGGUGUGGCAUAACCCUAUUUAAAAUUUAAGGUAGAAAUUAAAUGUUAUUCGUUUUAGGUGAUAGCUAGUUAUACUAUAAAGAUAUAUAAGUAUCGGAUAUAAUUUUAUUAUGUGUUUAUGUUAUAUACAUAUAAUAACUUAUUUUCUUAGCUAUGCGAGGGUAAGCUCGUAUAAAUUCAAUUUAGCUAAAAUUAUAUAUGAAUCUAGGCUUGAAAUUAGCCAUGGUUUGGAAUUUGUUAAAAAUGCAUAUAUACAUAUAAAAACUUUGUAAUAUAUUAAAUUUAUAUUAUUCAACUAUGUAAUUAAGGCAUGGUUGAUUUAUGCUAAAAUGAGUAUUAUUAUAGGCUAAAACAAAAAAUAAAUUAAAUUUUUUUAAAAAUUUUUUAUAAAUAUUAUGAAACAUAUGAUAGGAACUCGGCAAAAAUUUGACUCCGCCUGUUUAGCAAAAACAUGUCUCUUUGAAAAGUAAAGUAUAAAGAGUCUGGCCUGCCCGG